UAAGUUGCAGGCGCCGGGUUUUUUCAUGGUGGCAGGCCCUUCUGUUGGCGCCGUAAAGCACAGUGGUGUGUUCAGCUGUGACUGGGACUCAUUAGAUGAGGAGAAUGUCCGUCAUGGUGCCUGGCUGUCUGCGUGUUGGUCAUCCAGCAGGGGACGAGGAAGAAAGGAUUCGCAGUGACCACUGAAGGUGUAACUGACGCCCAGUUGGCUCGGCGGCGAAUCGGCUGAACUGUGGAGGCUUUCAGUCUCCUGAGCAGCCGAGUUUCAUCGAGUCCCUGCGUCUGCGUACCUUCUGUCAGAUUGCCCUGUGGAAACGGCGGCCCUGCUCAUAUAACUUCAUUACUUUUUAAUGCAGCUAUAAUUACUCCAGCAUGUUGUAAUUGGACAGAGAUAUGAGAACAAUAAAGGAUGUCAGGACAGAGAACAG